rnacentral:rRNA from 1 species
GUGGGGAAUUUUGGACAAUGGGCGCAAGCCUGAUCCAGCCAUUCCGCGUGCAGGAUGAAGGCCUUCGGGUUGUAAACUGCUUUUGUACGGAACGAAAAGCCUCUGGUUAAUACCCGGGGGUCAUGACGGUACCGUAAGAAUAAGCACCGGCUAACUACGUGCCAGCAGCCGCGGUAAUACGUAGGGUGCGAGCGUUAAUCGGAAUUACUGGGCGUAAAGCGUGCGCAGGCGGUGAUGUAAGGCAGUUGUGAAAUCCCCGGGCUCAACCUGGGAACUGCAUCUGUGACUGCAUUGCUGGAGUGCGGCAGAGGGGGAUGGAAUUCCGCGUGUAGCAGUGAAAUGCGUAGAUAUGCGGAGGAACACCGAUGGCGAAGGCAAUCCCCUGGGCCUGCACUGACGCUCAUGCACGAAAGCGUGGGGAGCAAACAGGAUUAGAAACCCGAGUAGUCC